UACGGGAGGCAGCAGUAGGGAAUUUUCGUCAAUGGGGGGAACCCUGAACGAGCAAUGCCGCGUGAGUGAAGACGGUCUUCGGAUUGUAAAGCUCUGUUGCGAGAGAAAAACGACACGGAUAGGGAAUGAUCCGUGGGUGAUGGUAUCUCGCCAGAAAGUCACGGCUAACUACGUGCCAGCAGCCGCGGUAAUACGUAGGUGGCGAGCGUUAUCCGGAAUGAUUGGGCGUAAAGGGUGCGUAGGCGGCCCGUUAAGUCUGGAGUCAAAGCCGGCAGCUUAACUGUCGUACGCUUUGGAAACUGGCGGGCUGGAGUGCAGAAGAGGGCGAUGGAACUCCAUGUGUAGCGGUAAAAUGCGUAGAUAUAUGGAAGAACACCAGUGGCGAAGGCGGUCGCCUGGUCUGCAACUGACGCUGAAGCACGAAAGCGUGGGGAGCAAAUAGGAUUAGAUACCCUAGUAGUCCACGCCGUAAACGAUGAGAACUAAGUGUUGGGGGAAUAACUCAGUGCUGCAGUUAACGCAAUAAGUUCUCCGCCUGGGGAGUAUGCACGCAAGUGUGAAACUCAAAGGAAUUGACGG
rnacentral:rRNA from 1 species